GAUGAACGCUGGCGGCGUGCCUAAUACAUGCCAGUCGAGCGAACAGACGAGGAGCUUGCUCCUCUGACGUUAGCGGCGGACGGGUCAGUAACACGUGGAUAACCUACCUAUAAGACUGGGAUAACUUCGGGAAACCGGAGCUAAUACCGGAUAAUAUAUUGAACCGCAUGGUUCAAUAGUGAAAGACGGUUUUGCUGUCACUUAUAGAUGGAUCCGCGCCGCAUUAGCUAGUUGGUAAGGUAACGGCUUACCAAGGCGACGAUGCGUAGCCGACCUGAGAGGGUGAUCGGCCACACUGGAACUGAGACACGGUCCAGACUCCUACGGGAGGCAGCAGUAGGGAAUCUUCCGCAAUGGGCGAAAGCCUGACGGAGCAACGCCGCGUGAGUGAUGAAGGUCUUCGGAUCGUAAAACUCUGUUAUUAGGGAAGAACAAAUGUGUAAGUAACUAUGCACGUCUUGACGGUACCUAAUCAGAAAGCCACGGCUAACUACGUG
rnacentral:rRNA from 1 species